rnacentral:rRNA from 1 species
UACGGAGGGUGCAAGCGUUGUUCGGAAUCACUGGGCGUAAAGGGCGCGUAGGCGGUUUGAUAAGUCAGAUGUGAAAGCCCACGGCUUAACUGUGGAAGUGCAUUUGAAACUGUCAGACUUGAGUAUCAGAGGGGAAAGUGGAAUUCCCGGUGUAGAGGUGAAAUUCGUAGAUAUCGGGAGGAAUACCGGUGGCGAAGGCGACUUUCUGGCUGAAUACUGACGCUGAGGCGCGAAAGCGUGGGGAGCAAACAGGAUUAGAAACCCCAGUAGUCC